CAAUAGCGUAUAUUUAAGUUGUUGCAGUUAAAAAGCUCGUAGUUGGAUUUCGGGUGGGACGCAGCGGUCUCGCAUUGCGUUUGUACUGCUGCAGCCCUCCUUCUUGCCGGGGGCGUCCUCUCGGACUUCACUGUCUGGGGGUCAGAAUCGGCGAUGUUACUUUGAGUAAAUUAGAGUGUUCAAAGCAAGCUUACGCUCUGAAUAUAAUAGCAUGGGAUAACACGACAGGACUCUGGCCUAUCGUGUUGGUCUAUAGGACCAGAGUAAUGAUUAAGAGGGACAGUCGGGGGCAUUCGUAUUCCGUUGUCAGAGGUGAAAUUCUUGGAUUUACGGAAGACGAACAUCUGCGAAAGCAUUUGCCAAGGAUGUUUUCAUUGA
rnacentral:rRNA from 1 species